rnacentral:tRNA from 1 species
AAGAAGGUGGUGCAAUGGUAGCACGCUGGUCUCCGAAGCCGGAAACGUGGGUUCAAUUCCCGCCCUUCUUG